ACGUAAUAGAUACCCUGGUAGUCCACGCCCUAAACGAUGUCUACUACGUUGUUGGUGGAGUAAAAUCCAAUGAAGUAAAACGCGAAGCUAAACGCGUGAAGUAGACCGCCUGGGGAGUACGGUCGCAAGAUUAAAAACUCAAAGGAAUUGACGGGGGCCCGCACAAGCGGUGGAUUAUGUGGAUUAAAUUCGAUGCAACGCGAAAAACCUUACCUGGCCUUGACAUGCCACUAACGAAGCAGAGAUGCAUUAGGUGCCCGUAAGGGAAAGUGGACACAGGUGCUGCAUGGCUGUCGUCAGCUCGUGUCGUGAGAUGUUGGGUUAAGUCCCGCAACGAGCGCAACCCUUGCCAUUAAUUGCCAUCAUUUAGUUGGGCACUUUAAUGGGACUGCCGGUGACAAACCGGAGGAAGGUGGGGAUGACGUCAAGUCCUCAUGGCCCUUAUGGCCAGGGCUUCACACGUAAUACAAUGGUCGGUACAGAGAGUUGCCAACCCGCGAGGGGGAGCUAAUCUCAGAAAGCCGAUCGUAGUCCGGAUUGUUCU
rnacentral:rRNA from 1 species